rnacentral:rRNA from 1 species
CCUACGGGUGGCAGCAGUGAGGAAUAUUGGUCAAUGGGCGGAAGCCUGAACCAGCCAUGCCGCGUGCAGGAAGACGGCUCUAUGAGUUGUAGACUGCUUUUGUACGAGGGUAAACGCAGAUACGCGUAUCUGUCUGAAAGUCUCGUACGAAUAAGGAUCGGCUAAUUCUGGGCCAGCAGCCGCGGUAAUACGGAGGAUUCAAGCGUUAUCCGGAUUUAUUGGGUUUAAAGGGUGCGUAGGCGGUCGGAUAAGUUAGAGGUGAAAUCCCGAGGCUCAACUUCGGAAUUGCCUCUGAUACUGUUCGGCUAGAGAGUAGUUGCGGUAGACGGAAUGUAUGGUGUAGCGGUGAAAUGCUUAGAGAUCAUACAGAACAUCGAUUGCGAAGGCAGCUUACCAAGCUACUUCUGACGUUGAGGCACGAAAGCGUGGGGAGCAAACAGGAUUAGAUACCCUUGUAGUC